AACGAACGCUGGCGGCAGGCCUAACACAUGCAAGUCGAGCGAGGACUUCGGUUCUAGCGGCGGACGGGUGAGUAACGCGUGGGAAUGUGCCCUUCUCUACGGAAUAGCCCUGGGAAACUGGGAGUAAUACCGUAUACGCCCUUUUGGGGAAAGAUUUAUCGGAGAAGGUUAGCCCGCGUUGGAUUAGGUAGUUGGUGGGGUAAAGGCCCACCAAGCCGACGAUCCAUAGCUGGGUUGAGAGGAUGAUCAGCCACACUGGGACUGAGACACGGCCCAGACUCCUACGGGAGGCAGCAGUGGGGAAUCUUAGACAAUGGGGGCAACCCUGAUCUAGCCAUGCCGCGUGAGUGAUGAAGGCCUUAGGGUUGUAAAGCUCUUUCAGCUGGGAAGAUAAUGACGGUACCAGCAGAAGAAGCCCCGGCUAACUCCGUG
rnacentral:rRNA from 1 species